UAAUACGGAGGGUCCGAGCGUUAUCCGGAUUUAUUGGGUUUAAAGGGAGCGUAGAUGGAUGUUUAAGUCAGUUGUGAAAGUUUGAGGCUCAACCUUAAAAUUGCAAUUGAUACUGGACGUCUUGAGUACGGUUGAGGUAGGUGGAAUUCGUGGUGUAGCGGUGAAAUGCUUAGAUAUCACGAAGAACUCCGAUUGCGAAGGCAUCUUACUAAGCCGUAACUGACAUUGAGGCUCGAAAGUGUGGGUAUCAAACAGG
rnacentral:rRNA from 1 species